CGCUGGCGGCAGGCCUAACACAUGCAAGUCGAGCGGAUGAAAGGAGCUUGCUCCUGGAUUCAGCGGCGGACGGGUGAGUAAUGCCUAGGAAUCUGCCUGGUAGUGGGGGACAACGUUUCGAAAGGAACGCUAAUACCGCAUACGUCCUACGGGAGAAAGCAGGGGACCUUCGGGCCUUGCGCUAUCAGAUGAGCCUAGGUCGGAUUAGCUAGUUGGUGAGGUAAUGGCUCACCAAGGCGACGAUCCGUAACUGGUCUGAGAGGAUGAUCAGUCACACUGGAACUGAGACACGGUCCAGACUCCUACGGGAGGCAGCAGUGGGGAAUAUUGGACAAUGGGCGAAAGCCUGAUCCAGCCAUGCCGCGUGUGUGAAGAAGGUCUUCGGAUUGUAAAGCACUUUAAGUUGGGAGGAAGGGUUGUAGAUUAAUACUCUGCAAUUUUGACGUUACCGACAGAAUAAGCGCCGGCU
rnacentral:rRNA from 1 species